rnacentral:lncRNA from 1 species
CUGUUACACUAUGCUGCUGCUGCUGCUGCUGCUGCUGCUGGCUGUUGUUGGCGAACAGGGCUGCCAUGAACUGCUGCUGCAUUUGCAUGAGCUCCAUUUGCCUCUCAUGUGCCUUGGCAUCCUCCUCCUUCUUCCGCUCAUGCGACUUUGCAUCUUCCUCCUUCUUCAUCUCCAACAUGGUCGCAAACAGGUCUUUCAGCAUUGUCUCCUGCUUUGCCUGCUGC